UACGUGGGGUGCAAGCGUUGCUCGGAAUUAUUGGGCGUAAAGGGUUGGUAGGUGGUCUUGUUUGUCUAGGGUGAAAUCCCAUGGCUUAACUGUGGAAGUGCCCUAGAAACGGCAAGACUAGAGUCCUAGAGGGGUUUGUGGAAUUCCCGGUGUAGCGGUGAAAUGCGUAGAGAUCGGGAGGAACACCAGCGGCGAAGGCGGCAAACUGGAUAGGCACUGACACUCAACAACGAAAGCGUGGGGAGCAAACAGG
rnacentral:rRNA from 1 species